CCUACGGGAGGCUGCAGUGGGGAAUAUUGGGCAAUGGGCGCAAGCCUGACGCAGCAACGCCGCGUGAAGGAAGAAGGCUUUCGGGUUGUAAACUUCUGUUCUCAGGGACGAAGCAAGUGACGGUACCUGAAGAAGAAGCCACGGCUAACUACGUGCCAGCAGCCGCGGUAAUACGUAGGUGGCAAGCGUUAUGCGGAUUUACUGGGUGUAAGGGGCGUGUAGGCGGGACUGCAAGUCAGUUGUGAAAACCCCGGGCUCAACCUGUGGACUGCAUUUGAAACUGUAGUUCUUGAGUACUGGAGAGGCAGACGGAAUUCCUAGUGUAGCGGUGAAAGGCGUAGAUAUUAGGAGGAACACCAGUGGCGAAGGCGGUCUGCUGGACAGCAACUGACGCUGAGGCGCGAAAGCGUGGGGAGCAAACAGGAUUAGAUACCCUUGUAGUC
rnacentral:rRNA from 1 species